rnacentral:rRNA from 1 species
AUUGAACGCUGGCGGCAGGCCUAACACAUGCAAGUCGAGCGGAUGAAGGGAGCUUGCUCCUGGAUUCAGCGGCGGACGGGUGAGUAAUGCCCAGGAAUCUGCCUGGUAGUGGGGGAUAACGUCCGGAAACGGGCGCUAAUACCGCAUACGUCCUGAGGGAGAAAGUGGGGGAUCUUCGGACCUCACGCUAUCAGAUGAGCCUAGGUCGGAUUAGCUAGUUGGUGGGGUAAAGGCCUACCAAGGCGACGAUCCGUAACUGGUCUGAGAGGAUGAUCAGUCACACUGGAACUGAGACACGGUCCGGACUCCUACGGGAGGCAGCAGUGGGGAAUAUUGGACAAUGGGCGAAAGCCUGAUCCAGCCAUGCCGCGUGUGUGAAGAAGGUCUUCGGAUUGUAAAGCACUUUAAGUUGGGAGGAAGGGCAGUAAGUUAAUACCUUGCUGUUUUGACGUUACCAACAGAAUAAGCACCGGCUAACUUCGUG